CGCCUGGGGAGUACGGGUGAGGUAACGGCUCACCAAGGCGACGACGGGUAGCCGGCCUGAGAGGGUGACCGGCCACACUGGGACUGAGACACGGCCCAGACUCCUACGGGAGGCAGCAGUGGGGAAUAUUGCACAAUGGGCGCAAGCCUGAUGCAGCAACGCCGCGUGAGGGAUGACGGCCUUCGGGUUGUAAACCUCUUUUAGCAGGGAAGAAGCGAAAGUGACGGUACCUGCAGAAAAAGCACCGGCUAACUACGUGCCAGCAGCCGCGGUAAUACGUAGGGUGCAAGCGUUGUCCGGAAUUAUUGGGCGUAAAGAGCUCGUAGGCGGUUUGUCACGUCUGCUGUGAAAAUCCAAGGCUCAACCUUGGACUUGCAGUGGGUACGGGCAGGCUAGAGUGCGGUAGGGGAGAUGGGAAUUCCUGGUGUAGCGGUGGAAUGCGCAGAUAUCAGGAGGAACACCAAUGGCGAAGGCACAUCUCUGGGCCGUAACUGACGCUGAGGAGCGAAAGCGUGGGGAGCGAACAGGAUUAGAUACCCUGGUAGUCCACGCCGUAAACGGUGGGUGCUAGCUGUGGGCCACAUUCCACGUGGUCCGUGACGAAGUUAACACAUUAAGCACCCCGCCUGGGGAGUACGG
rnacentral:rRNA from 1 species